UUAACCGACACCAUUACUGUAGUCGUUUUAUAGCUAGUGUUACGGACAUGCGACUCUGGACCGACCCGUUAGUAUACUAUAUUUAAAAUACAUCUUCAGUUGUUAGAGUCAACGUGAUAAAAGUUGGUUAUGAUAAAGAAAGGGACGUAAAGUUUGCACAGGCUCUAAUCGAGGAAACAGCUCUGCAAGGGAGUCAACUCAUGAGAGAGGGAGACGAUAUGGAAUUCGAAUGGCCCUUGACAUGUACACAGCCGGAACUAACAGUGGGUAAAACCUACUACAUCAUAGCGAAGAAAGGGACUUCUUUUACUGAAUACUAUGGAAUGACGAGAGUGAGGUAUCAACUGACGGGCACGGCACUCGUUAUCGACCCUGAAUUCAAACCGCUUCUUCGUAUUAUGAUGAACAAUUUCGUAAAAGAACUGAGGAAGAACAAUGGAUGCAUAAACUAAGCGUCGUAACAGUCAUUGAUACAGCUUGUUGUAUGUUCGAUGAAUACUAUAAUUACAAUAUAACGAUUGAUUGUGAACAAAUGUAGCCAAAUUAUAGUCAU